rnacentral:rRNA from 1 species
GACGAACGCUGGCGGCGUGCUUAACACAUGCAAGUCGAACGGAAAGGCCCUGCUUUUGUUGGGUGCUCGAGUGGCGAACGGGUGAGUAACACGUGAGUAUCCUGCCCUUGACUUUGGGAUAACUUCAGGAAACUGGGGCUAAUACCGGAUAGGAGCUCCUGCUGCAUGGUGGUGGUUGGAAAGUUUCGGCGGUUGGGGAUGGACUCGCGGCUUAUCAGCUGGUUGGUGGGGUAGUGGCUUACCAAGGCUUUGACGGGUAGCCGGCCUGAGAGGGGGAACGGCCACAUUGGGACUGAGGUACGGCCCAGACUCCUACGGGAGGCAGCAGGGGGGAAUAUUGCACAAUGGGGGGAAGCCUGAUGCAGCAACGCCGCGUGCGGGAUGACGGCCUUCGGGUUGUAAACCGCUUUCGCCUGUGACGAAGCGUGAGUGACGGUAAUGGGUAAAGAAGCACCGGCUAACUACGUG